GAUUUCUGGGCUCAAGAAUUUGGCCAGCCGCGGUUUCGCGUGUUCGUGCUUUGUUCUGUGUCCAUCCUUCCAAUCGCUACUGGUCAUUCUUCAUUGAGUGGCCAGUGGUAUUGGAUCUUUUACUUUGAAAAAAUUAGAGUGUUUCAAGCAGGCUUUAUGCUAUGAAUACAUUAGCAUGGAAUAAUAAUUUAGGACUUCGGUUCUAUUUUGUUGGUUUCUAGGACUGAAGUAAUGAUUGAUAGGGAUAGUUGGGGGUGCUAGUAUUCAGCGGCCAGAGGUGAAAUUCUCGGAUUCGCUGAAGACUAACUUAUGCGAAAGCAUU
rnacentral:rRNA from 1 species